UGCGGCGUCCUAGCGGCCUGGUGUCUUGGUCCCCACCCUGCUGCCCUGGUGGCCAGCAGUACUUGCGUACUGGUAUCUUGAUGCCUGCCCUGUGGACCUGGUGGCGAGCUCUUCCAUCAGCCUGGUGUCUUGCUGCCCGCCCUGUGGAUCAAGCAGCCACCUGUUCUUGCGAAAUGGUAGCUAGCUGCCCACGAUGGGAACCUGGUGGCCAGCUGUCGUAAUGACCUGGCCUCUGGCAGCGACUGUUCCAGUGACUUGAUGUGUAGCGGCGAGCUCAGCGGACUCGCCAGCUGUUCCAGUGAAACUGUAUCUUGCGGCCUGACCUGGGGACCCUUUUGGCCAGCUGUUCUGGAGGCCUGAACAAACGAUCGACAUGUUCCUGUCGUGCACGGACUGUCUGUCAAAGGCGAUGCUCGGUUUUCGUGGGUCCUUAUCGUGUGAAGCACUGGAGUCAGCAUGGUGGCCGUCUAUAUGAAUAAUGCCACCAAGUGGACCUGCGUCUUGCUGCCUGACGUGCGGAACGGGUGGCGAGCUCGGCCUUCUAGCACGAUGGUGCCUGGGAGCCUCCACUGCGGAUCUGGUGGCCAGCUGAUCUUGCGACCUGGUAUCUCAACGUCAAUCCAGCUGCUCUACCUUCAUGAUGUUGCUGCGUUGCUUCUGUUGCUGCGCGCCCCGUAGACCUGGUGGCAAGCUGUUCUUGUGACCUCCUCGGCUGCUGAAAAGAUACAGCAUGCGCUAAGGAAUCACAGAGGAACGUGCUCAUCGUAAGUGGCGAUGAUGGCGAGGACCUCCCCACCACGGACUUGGAACUGCAAUCCCUCGAUCGGGAGCAACCUGCUGCCGGACCGCCGAACAGCCGCUGAGCCAGGCUGGAGAAGUUCACGUCGAACGUCAAGUCUUGAACCGGCGUCAGAGUGGCCACAUUCAUCGUCACGACAACGAGGCACUUGACACCAUUGCUGGAAAUCCCCACAAACGGGUGGUUACACACACACACAAAUAAAGAGACUCAAAACAGCGCUGGCCAGAAGGCCAGAAGAGGACGAUGGCCGCGUUCAGCGCCGAUGACGUGCAAGACAACUCAAGCUUUCGUACCACGAGUCCAACUAAUAAGUAUAUGUGGGGUAGAUCUUCGGUAGCCUCAGCAGAGGUUGGGGCGGGUCUUCGAAAUAGAGCUUCGGUAACACAGGCUUACGGAGUUACCCUGUUGGUAACGGCAGAGGAAACGCGACGAGCGAAACGUUGGUGGAUGGCAUGAAUGACCCAAAGAACGGAAAACUACGCACGACGGCAAAAUAUGAUGUUCACGGGAGCGUAUUCGCGCAAUGUGUUUUUUAUCAAGUCACCAAAGUGUUUCUGCACCAUUUUAACCCUGUACUGCACAACGCAGAUUCUGUAUAGUGCGCGUUUGAGACAUAGUAAUUUGAAUUCGCGCACGUGGAACACAAGUAGCCGUAUUAAUGCACAAUCAGGGUAUUUUUAUGUCCACUACAUGACGAAGGCCUCUCCCAGCGAUCUCCCAUUUCCGCUAUCAUGUGCCAACUACUUCCAACUUGCGCCUGCGAAUUUUCUCAUCUCAGCUCGACUGCGCUUCCGUUUUCUUGGCACCCAUUUUGUAACGCUAACGCUCCACCGAUUAUCAAUCCUACGCAUUGCAUAGCCUACCCAGCUCCAUUCCUUUCUCUUUGUGUCGAUUACAAUAGCGGGUAUCCCUGUUUACCCUCGAUAGUCCACAGCGCUUUUCACCUGUCUCUGAACAUUACGCCUAACG